UAAAUGGGUUAAAAAGAGAGAGAAAGAGAUGAAAAAGGAUAAGGAUGGAGUCAUGGAGGUGGACCUGGUUACUUCUGCCGCUCUGUUGGCGGCGAUGGCGAUCUACACUCCUGAAAAUCCACCAUGGACCCUCGUUAGGCCUCAACGCGCCCAGCAGUCGAUACUGCCAUACUCAGUUUGGUUGAUGUAAAUUUUUGAAGCUCCAACAAUGAGUACCUUAAUUAGGUUGUGUACAGAAGGACUAACUAUAUGGAGAGAAAGCAGGUAAAUAUCUUUGCUCCAACAUUUACUUUUUAAACCCUACAACAAUGUUAUCUAAAAGAAGUUCAUCUUAUGGCUUCAAUAAGAAGAGUUGGAUCUUAUUCUUUCUACUCCCCUAACCGACCCAAGGUGUUCUCUAACUUUUUUUUUCCCCCAUUUUGGUAUUGGGGUGUCCUUAUAAUGCGGGACUGGUCAAUGCUUCUUCCUGUUCAUGUAACAAAUUUCAACAAUUCCCUAAUAAGUGAAUUUAAUGUGAAAUGGCAUUGCUCUAUCUUGUAGA